rnacentral:lncRNA from 1 species
UUUCUCAAUUCAUCACAUAGAAUUCAAUAUCUGCACUUAACACAAUACAAUUCGAUAAUCUUAAUUCUCAAGGUCACAAAUCUUCUCCAAAUCGGUUAGUUCAAAGUCAUCUUCUAUAAUAUUCUAAUCACAAUUUCUACAAUACUUCUCUCAAUCACAAUUCUUCAUAAAAAGCAAAAAAAACAAAAAGAUGUAGCACUAAGCUUGCCUCAGCUUACGACUAUCACAAUCUGACACUCCAGUCUAACUUCUCAGUAUUCAAAAACUAUCCAUUACUCGUCAACAACAAAGAAA